rnacentral:rRNA from 1 species
GAUGAACGCUGGCGGCGUGCCUAAUACAUGCCAGUCGAGCGAACGGACGAGAAGCUUGCUUCUCUGAUGUUAGCGGCGGACGGGUGAGUAACACGUGGAUAACCUACCUAUAAGACUGGGAUAACUUCGGGAAACCGUAGCUAAUACCGGAUAAUAUUUUGAACCGCAUGGUUCAAAAGUGAAAGACGGUCUUGCUGUCACUUAUAGAUGGAUCCGCGCUGCAUUAGCUAGUUGGUAAGGUAACGGCUUACCAAGGCAACGAUGCAUAGCCGACCUGAGAGGGUGAUCGGCCACACUGGAACUGAGACACGGUCCGGACUCCUACGGGAGGCAGCAGUAGGGAAUCUUCCGCAAUGGGCGAAAGCCUGACGGAGCAACGCCGCGUGAGUGAUGAAGGUCUUCGGAUCGUAAAACUCUGUUAUUAGGGAAGAACAUAUGUGUAAGUAACUGUGCACAUCUUGACGGUACCUAAUCAGAAAGCCACGGCUAACUACGUG